GAUGGGAGCUUGCUCCCUGAUGUUAGCGGCGGACGGGUGAGUAACACGUGGGUAACCUGCCUGUAAGACUGGGAUAACUCCGGGAAACCGGGGCUAAUACCGGAUGGUUGUUUGAACCGCAUGGUUCAGACAUAAAAGGUGGCUUCGGCUACCACUUACAGAUGGACCCGCGGCGCAUUAGCUAGUUGGUGAGGUAACGGCUCACCAAGGCGACGAUGCGUAGCCGACCUGAGAGGGUGAUCGGCCACACUGGGACUGAGACACGGCCCAGACUCCUACGGGAGGCAGCAGUAGGGAAUCUUCCGCAAUGGACGAAAGUCUGACGGAGCAACGCCGCGUGAGUGAUGAAGGUUUUCGGAUCGUAAAGCUCUGUUGUUAGGGAAGAACAAGUGCCGUUCAAAUAGGGCGGCACCUUGACGGUACCUAACCAGAAAGCCACGGCUAACUACGUGCCAGCAGCCGCGGUAAUACGUAGGUGGCAAGCGUUGUCCGGAAUUAUUGGGCGUAAAGGGCUCGCAGGCGGUUUCUUAAGUCUGAUGUGAAAGCCCCCGGCUCAACCGGGGAGGGUCAUUGGAAACUGGGGAACUUGAGUGCAGAAGAGGAGAGUGGAAUUCCACGUGUAGCGGUGAAU
rnacentral:rRNA from 1 species